CAGAGGACACCCUUGGAUGUGACUCUGGGAGCCAUCUACCUUGCUCUUCUGACAGGAUGUGGAACUUGCUGGCUAGGCUGCACUAUAUGGCCAGGGAACCUCAAGCGCCUGCCUGUCUCUCCCACGUUGGCACUGGGGUUAUAAACACAGUGAUCCAUUUCUCUAUGGGAGUUGGAGAUCGAACUCACCUUCUCACACUUGCAAGGCAAAUGCUUUAACCACCAAGCCAUCUACCCAGGCCUCUGGCCCCGUUUUUAAAUGGCCUUAUUCCUUUGUGAUUCGUUUGUAUUUCUGUAUAUCUGCUAAUCUUAUACACCUUCUAAAGAUGAUAAUCAUUGGGAUUAGGGCUAAGACUAAUCCACUAUGACUUUAUUUUGAGCAUCUGUCACUGCAGUUGGAGUCUCAAAUAGCUUUGGGGGAAUAAUAAAUAGUCUUAGAAAAGUACAAAGAAAAGUGGAAUUGGGGGGAAUAAAGGAAGAACUUUAUCAUAAAUUCACCAUAAAUUCAUCACUUGCAUUUGCUUUCCUCUUGCAGGCACAUGCUCACAGACUAUACUUAAGCUAAGGCAGCUACGAGGUCAUAAUCAUAUCUGUGCUCUUUCACUGGCUGAAACAUCUACAUAUGGCACCUGACUGCUCCAAAUCUGGCAGUGUGAUACAGUGAGGGAGCCUGGUGUAAAUCCUGGUCCUGCCACUUGAUGAGCGUAUCACGGACGAGGUCAAUGUAGUGGUAUGAUUUGGAAUGUAUACUCUGAUCUUAAGUGGAUCAGGUGUGUGAACUUGGCCUUUAUUGGCUGGCAACAUUCAUCUUUGGGGAAGAGACCAUGGGAAAAGAAGAGAAUCAAGAGAAUCGGGUCAUGCUUGAAUCUCACUGAGAAAGCAAAAUAGACAUCAGGAACCUGCAAGGAUGAUGUCAGCGAAGACUCCUAGCAACGUGGGACAAGGAACCGGACAACACUUCCAGUGGAGGGCUGGGGCACCAACUCAGCCACAAAACUUUCGACCCACACAUUGUCCUGCCUACAAAUGUACAGAGGCAUUUGGAAUUGGAAAGAAAGAGCUGUAACAGUGUCUCUGCUUUCCAGUUACAAGAAGGACAUUAAGAGAUAACGGAUCAACUGUGGAAGGAUGCUGGUGUUCUAAAUGUCAGCAGAGCCACGGCAGCACAGAAACCUAAAGGCAACACAUUCCAGAGAAGGCACCACCUUUCAAAAGGAGGCCAAGGCAGGAAAAUCCCGUGAGCAUCUUGGAUAGCAUCUGAUAUUCUAAGGGGGUGGGGAGGAGAUAAGAAGGUUCAUUAUUCUAACACCAUUGAGAUCACCGUGUCAUUGAUCUAAAGGAUGCAAUAUUUUCAUGUAUCAAGUACUACACUCCUCUGAGGCAUUGGCUGCUUCAAUUAGCAGAGGCGGAAGUAGCUACUGUUGGUUACUUAAAUUCAUCUGAGUAAGCGAGGAAGAAGGAGGACUUGAACAUGAACUGGGUCACAUUAAAGGUCAACAGAACAACAAACUAAACCAGAAAGUGCAGAAGUUAGGACUAAACGGAGACUACACAGGGUCAGAAUUUUCUGCACCAGCACGAGGAUAUAGGGGAAAUAGCAACAGCUGAGUAAUGUACACUUGAAUUCGCUGUUACAUUUGGUCCUGCAGCUACCACGGAAGUCAACAUGGUUAGUCGAUACCCACGGAUCAGCUGUUAAGAACCUUCCUGAAGGCUGUGUCUCAAGUUUUCCCUAAUUUCAUCCUUACUCUUAUGAAAUAAAUGGACUCAUCUCAUUGUUGGUCGAAAGUUAAUGAGGCAGACCUCCAACGAAGCCCAGUGUUAAAAUGGCAGCAAUUUCUUAAAGAGAAGAUUGGCCAAAGAGAUGGUUCAGUGGUUAGGAGCACUUACUGCUCUUGUAGGGGGCUCCUAGUACCCACACAUUGGCUCACAAACAUCUGUAAUUCCAGUCCCAGGAGAUCUGGCUUCUGGAGGCAUCAGUCAUGCAGACGGAGCACAGAUACACAUGGAGGCAAACGCACAAAACAAAAAUAAAACU
rnacentral:sRNA from 1 species